AUUGUUUGUUUGUGUUGGAAAAUCCAUAAAAUAAUUUUGUUCCUGUUUAGGUGAUGGUUUAGAUGGUAUGAAAAACUCUCCUGCUAAUGGUCCUGGUACACCUAGGGAAGAAGGGCCACCUAUGGGAGAAUAUGGCAUUUCAGGGUAUGGGCAAGAAAAUAUACCGGGGGAUACGUCGGGAAUUGACAUGCAGUGCCAUCUGCAAGCUUGUAGCAGUCAUCAGGUUCAUCCUUGUGAAAUUUAAGUUCAGGAAAAUCUUCAGACCAGAAUGAAUUGGUGGCAAUACUAAAAUUCUAAAGAAAACAUUGAGGAGAAAGACAAGAGGUUUGAAAAGGACACCCAGAACAUCUAGGAAGAACCGCAAGAUGGUUACCAUAGAAAGAACCGCAAGAUGGUUACCAAGAACAACUAAGAGCACAAAAGAAACCGUUGAUUAAACACGAAACAUUUCCUUAUAGCUACAUUAUGCUGUUUUUUCCAAAUUGUUCGAUUUUGUUCAGAAGUGUGAUAUCUCUGUUUUAAAUACUUUAUACAUGUCUUAAAAUUUCACUGACUGAAAAAAUCGAUAGUAAAAGACUUUGAAACAAAAAACGAUUAUUAAUUGAGAAUGAAUUUUAGAUUUGAUGUGCGCUUGUAUAAAUCAAAACUCUUAAAAAAAAGUAUUUGUUUGGCAGUUUGUUCUUGUUUUGGAUAUUUCAGAAUGUUCUUCAAAUCCAACAAGGCAGUAAAACAAACCCAGUACUUUUACCGGUUAUCUUUAUCCGUGACUAGAGAUGAUGGGUGAACUUUUUUUCAAACCUGAAUGAACUGUAUAUUGUCCACUUGGGCUUAUCUCUUGGAACUGGAGCCAGUAUGACGCUCUGUUUCUGGCUUCAAGUAAGUUCCAAGAGCCUCUAUCAAAGUUUCAUCUCCGUGUCAGUAUUUUCUCUCUCUCUUUUGCUCCUGAUAAAUUUCACUACAUCAUCAACAUCGUGACCAUCAUUGUUCCUCAACAAACUGUAAAUUGUCACAGUUGUGUAGAGACAGUGGGAGUGAUAAACAAGAUUGUAACUGUGUAAACAGUUUACCAACUUUUCAUUAUUUUUUUGACAAUAGCCCCUCCUUAAAGCAUUUUAAUCAUCCAGAGGAGAUUACUUGUGAUAAGCAACUUCCUCAUUAUGGCUCAAUACUAAUUAUGUGCCGACAAAUAUGUCAGUGAAACCCUGAAAAAGGUUGCUGUUUGAAGAGUAAGUAAAGUUUUCGAGUGUUACAUGGGACAAAUUGUAUUAGAUCUAACACUGAAAUCUGUCGUUAAACUGAGUAACUUUCACAAAUGGUAAAAUGUGGCAUCAGAAACUUUUCUAUUAUACUGAACCAAUCACAGGUUGUUUAACUAUACUAGUUAGACAACCUGUGAUUGGUUCAAUAUUACAUCUAUAUAAACUGUGGUUGGUUAAAUUGUAUAGUUAGACAACCUGUGAUUGGUUCAAUAU